UACGGAGGGAGCUAGCGUUGUUCGGAAUUACUGGGCGUAAAGCGUACGUAGGCGGUUAUUCAAGUCAGAGGUGAAAGCCCGGGGCUCAACCCCGGAACUGCCUUUGAAACUAGAUAGCUAGAGUCUUGGAGAGGUUAGUGGAAUUCCGAGUGUAGAGGUGAAAUUCGUAGAUAUUCGCAAGAACACCGGUGGCGAAGGCGGUCCACUGGGACCAUUACUGACGAGCUGCGAAGCGUAGGGAGCGGA
rnacentral:rRNA from 1 species